AUUGAACGCUGGCGGCAGGCUUAACACAUGCAAGUCGACCGAGUGGCGGACGGGUGAGUAAUGUCUGGGAAACUGCCUGAUGGAGGGGGAUAACUACUGGAAACGGUAGCUAAUACCGCAUACCAUCAGAUGUGCCCAGAUGGGAGUAGCGUGUCGGUGGGGUAACGGCUCACCAGGGCGACGACCCCUCGCUGGUCUGAGAGGAUGACCCGCCACACUGGAGCUGGGACACGUUCCAGACUCCUACGGGAGACAGCGGUGGGAAAUAUUGCACAAUGGGCUCAAGCCUAGUGCAGCCAUGCCGCGUGUAUGAAGAAGGCCUUCGGGUUGUAAAGUACUUUCAGCGGGAAGGCGUUACCCGCAGAAGAAGCACCGGCUAACUCCGUGCCAGCCGCCGCGGUAAUUC
rnacentral:rRNA from 1 species